rnacentral:RNase_P_RNA from 1 species
CAGGCUGGCUGGGUGGUCGCGGCACUGCGUUUGCAGUGUCGAGGAAAGUCCGCACUCCAAAGAGCAUGGCACCGGGUAACACCCGGGGUGGGGUAACCUGCCGCAUAGGGCCACAGAAACAAUACGCCGAGCGAUCGGUAAGGGUGAAACGGCGGUGUAAGAGACCACCGGAGCCUGCUGUAAGGUAGGCUGCCAGGUAACCGCUGCCAGGAGCAAAGCCAAGCAGGGGCAAUGCCGUAAGGCGGGAGGCUGCUCGUCUCCCGAGGCGCAAGCCUCGCAGUCCCGGGUAGGCUGCAUGAGGCAUAGGGUAACUUGUGUCCCAGAGAGAUGACCGCCCAGAUGGGCUGAGUCCCAUUGGACAGAAUGCGGCUUACAGGUCAGCCUGGGGG